rnacentral:rRNA from 1 species
GUCCUACGGGACGCAGCAGUGAGGAAUAUUGGUCAAUGGGCGCGAGCCUGAACCAGCCAAGUCGCGUGAGGGAAGACGGUCCUAUGGAUUGUAAACCUCUUUUGUCGGGGAGCAAAAGACGCCACGUGUGGCGUUCCGAGAGUACCCGAAGAAAAAGCAUCGGCUAACUCCGUGCCAGCAGCCGCGGUAAUACGGAGGAUGCGAGCGUUAUCCGGAUUUAUUGGGUUUAAAGGGUGCGCAGGCGGAAGAUCAAGUCAGCGGUAAAAAUGCGGUGCUCAACGCCGGCGAGCCGUUGAACCUGGCGG